GAGCUACUCCCUCCGUUCCGAAUUACUCGUCGCAGAAAUGGACGUAUUUAGAUGUAGUUUAGUUUAGAUACAUCCAUUGCUGCAACAGUAAUUUGGAACGGAGGGAGUACUUG
rnacentral:pre_miRNA from 1 species